GGGGAAGGGGAACCAGAUGCUCCACCCCACCCCAUCUCGGCAUCGCCAUCAUCGCUUUUUUUUUUUCCUGAAGGAGCUGGCGAGCUGCUUAUAUUGAGAGCAAUUGUCACAGGGUUCAGCGGUGGGACGCGUUGCCGUCGCCGCCUCCGGCGUCUACCUCGUCGGCGAGGCCGCGUACAACCGCCUCCACGGCUCCACCGUCCGGCGAGCUUCCUCCGGUAUUGAUGCGCACUGCACCUGAACUUGAUACAUGAGAUAUCUCUACACACCACACCUGAAAACAGAAGACCGAACAAUGCAAGACUUGUUCUUGAUCAGCACCCUCUUCUUGUUUCCAAGAAUGUGGAUUGUGUUUUGAAGAUGAAGUGUAUGGUUGCGUAUGAAAAACCAGAUCGAUGCUCUCAGAAGUCACCGGGGAUUUGCUCUAGUUUUGAGCUCAUUGUUUUUCUAUAUUUUCAAUUUCCUAAGGAAUGAUCGCAAGUCUUGCAGUGAUAUCCAUGGAAUGAUAUUUUGAGCUUAUCGUUUCUUUAUUUUGCGGGACAAGAAAUAAGGGUUAAAGCCAUGGAUACUGCUGUAGGACUUGCAAUCAUUCCUUAGGAUCAUCAAAAUAUAGAAAAAUGAUAAGCUCGAAUUAGAGCAAACCCUAGUGACUUUUGGGAGCAUAUGCCUCCAAUCGAUCAAGUUUUCACAGACAACAUAUACUCUAUCUUCAAAACCAAAUCUGGAUUCUCGAAAGUAGGAAGAUGGCACUACUGGAAAAAUAGGAUUUGCUCAUCGUGGAGGCUACCCUCCACGGUGAUCGUAGAAACUAAAAUAGAAAGUAGUUACUCAUUAUCUCAAUGUAAAUGAACAAAGUAAAGUCUUCCAACAGCUACCACCCGUUCUUAGUUAUUUUCAUUUCUUUUAGGUUCUAAAAUAGAGGUUUAUUACUAGGCUCGAAUCAGGUAGCUUUACCUCUGUUUUGUUGUCUCACUUAUGAGUAGCCGGUACUACAGAAUCAAGAGAUAAGCAUUGCUUUGUAAGGUGUGGUAUGUAGAGAUAUCUCAUGUGUAGCAAGUUCAAGCGUGGCUGAGCAAAGCUUUCCACCUCCACGGAGACCAUUCUAUUACCGUCUGCAGCUCCAAAUUAUGUUUCAUAAGAUCCACCCAGCCCAUCCCAGGAUGAGUAGUCUUCUCUGUAGUACUGCAGAGGAACUGCUUCCUCCUAGUGAACAAGGGGACUGGCCUACUGGGCCCUACUCUAACCAACUUUAGGCCCCGUUUAGGUCGCGAAAAUGUUUAGGUUUUGACACUGCAGCACUUUCGUUAUUAUUUGAUAAUUAAUAUCCAAUUAUAGACUAACUAGGCUUAAAAGAUUCGUCUCAUGCUAAUCAGUUAGACUAUGUAAUUAAUUAUUUUUUCAACUACAUUUAAUGCUUCAUGCAUGUGUAUAAAGAUUCGAUGUGACGGGUACUGUAGAAUUUUUUUUUAGAACUAAACAGGGCCUUACUGGAACUCUGAAUAAGUAUCCUGUGUACUGUACUUCUCUGCCGGCACUCCAUGAGUGUAGUUUGGAUUUGCAGAUGUAUCUGUAACAUGAAAGUGUUGUUCUCUGUUUAUAGAAGUUGCUACUGAGUUAUCUUGGAUUCGCGGAUGUAUCUGUGAUUUUCUUCUUCUUCUUUUGAUAUCUAUAUAUGUUGUGAUUUUCAUG